rnacentral:rRNA from 1 species
AUACGGAGGAUCCGAGCGUUAUCCGGAUUUAUUGGGUUUAAAGGGUGCGCAGGCGGCCAUUUAAGUCAGUGGUUAAAUCGUGGGGCUCAACCCCAUUCUGCCGUUGAUACUGGGUGGCUUGAUUGCGGUCGAGGUUGGCGGAAUUCGUUGUGUAGCGGUGAAAUGCAUAGAUAUGACGAAGAACACCGAUUGCGUAGGCAGCUGACCAGACCGCAAAUGACGCUCAUGCACGAAAGUGCGGGGAUCGAACAGGAUUAGAUACCCUGGUAGUCCGCACAGUAAACGAUGAAUACUUGUUUUCGGCGAUAUAAUGUCGGAGGCAAAGCGAAAGCGAUAAGUAUUCCACCUGGGGAGUACGCCGGCAACGGUGAAACUCAAAUGAAUUGACGGGG